rnacentral:lncRNA from 1 species
AUGAAGCCGUGAAUUAUGUGGUUUUUUGAGAUAGAGGUGAGGGUAUGGUGGACAUUUGGGUUGUUGAGGCGGAGGAGCUCGAAGGCGAGGGUCUCGUGGUGGGGGGAGGUGGUGGAGAAAUCUGGAGGGAGGGUGGUUGCAGGGAAGAAGUGGAAGACGAUGGAGGGGGCGGUGGCGGAGACAGAGGUGAUGUAGGCGGUGGCGGAGCCGGCGUCGUAAGCUUGGUUGGUGAUGAGGAUGUGAAUGGAGAGGGAAGGGCGGUAGGUGAGGAGGAGCUUGCCGAGCUCCACCAUGGAGAUGAGGUGGCCGAUGGCCGGUGACGGAUACAGCACGACUGCUUCUUUCAUUACUUGGGCCUGUUGUUGUUCCUUGAGCGACAUUGACAGUUUUCUCUGUAAUGACACAAACAGAGAAGGAGCAAAUGAAUUAGAGUGGUUCAGUCGGCCAAGGAGAGAGCCACUGGAAGACUACGCUAAUGAUGGGAAACUCACAAUUCUUCUUAUCUAUUAAACUAGUGGUUCUUAUUUUUCCAACGCUCCCCUCCAAGCUAGGGAUUUUAUUAUCUUUAAAUGGCCGACAAAAAUGGCCGACAAAAUUGUCCAACGCUCCCCUCCUUUGGGUAUCCUUCUUUGCCAAGAAUUCCACUUUGCCAACAUCAUGCUUUGAAACUCCAUUUUUCAUUAGAACGUGUCCAGGCGAUUUAAAUGUAGGAUCAUCAGCCUAAAUUGCAGCUUCCAUCAUUUUCCUGAAGGUUCCUACCAUGUCCUUAACUCUUCAUCUAGCGUGUAGAGUCCUAGCACAUUAUUAUAACUUAACUGAUCUGUUAGAAGUCCUAAUUCUCUCAUCUGAUUUGCAAUUUGUAGGGCCUUAUCUGCUAGGGCCUCAUCUAAUUUAACAUCAUUGCAUAUGUGAGCUCAUUGGCAUCCCCCUUGUGCUUCACUCUGGCAAAGAUCUGUUCCGCUUGUUCAACCAUAGAUCUCUCACUGUACAGAUCAAUCAUACAAUGCGAUGAGAAAACAUCAGGACCUAACUCUGACAACUGAAGCAUUCUGUAUGUUUCUUCUGCUUCUUUUAAAUAAACCGACUUUGUUAUAGAGUUUGAUCAGAGAGAGUCGUAUCUUCCAUUAUUUCCAGUCAAGCCUGCUUCUUCAUAGUGGUGACAUAACCAUGAGCUUCCUGAACACUUCCGGCAUCAGCACAAGCAUUUAUUAGUACACCAUACACAACAACAUCAGGUAGUAUAUUACACUAAAUCAUCUCCCUGUAAAGUCCCUCUGCCAUUUCUAACUGCCCUCAAAGCACAAUAGGGAAUGCAAUCUUUUACUAAACCCAUCUCCUACACCUUCCUCAAAUAGGGCAAUGCUCUGUAUGGAAAAUCAGCACCAGCUAAGAUUUGUAUAAUGGAACUGUAGCUACAUUUGUCGGGAGAUAUCCCUUGGCCUUCCAUGCUAUCAAAAAUGUGACAUGCUUUAUUGUAAUUAUUUGUUAUCCCAUAAGCUUUAAUUACCACAUUGUACUCAAGAACCGUCUGCCUUUGCUUUUGGCAGCAAAGGAAAACUCUCUCAGCCUCAGAAUUAUAACCACGCUCUCCAUAUGCAUCAAUAUUGGCUGAACAACACUUAAAACUCAUAUUCCCUUCAAGAUGAAAACUCCCGAACCAUUACCAUGAUUUUUUUAGCAUCCCAGCUUCUAUGUACAUUCUAAGAAGUGCUGAUUGUGUGUAUUCAUCAAUCACCAGAUCCCUUUCAUCCAUUUCACACAAAAGUUCUUCAGCUUCAUGAACCAUUCGCCUUAUGGAAUAUGCAUAUGGAAGAGUGCGAUAACUCACCAGGUCUGGUUUAAGGCAGGCAUCUAUCAUCAUUCUAAAGUGAGCUCCAGCCACUCUUAACUUUGUCGUGCUUAGUAUAAAUGGAAAUCAGUAUAUUAUAAGUUCUUGUAUCUAGCGCUCAACCGAGCUCCUCCAUCUUCUGCAUCAGCAUAUCUACUUCUUUUGACUGGCCAUUUUUACCAUUCAUGUGGAUCACUGGGUUAUAAAUAAAUGUAGUAGGUAUUAUCCCUUCUUUAAGCAUCUGCAAGAAUGUUGCAGAUGCUUCUUGAAGUUCUCUAGCUUUACCAUUAUUAUCAAUCAACAUGUUAUAUGUAUGUGAACUUAAACAUUCUCUCGAGACGAAAAUGGAACUUUAAUUUCCCUCCUUGUCCCAUCGACUCUCAGCUUGAGUGAUUCACCUACAAACCAUCUUCUGAAGAAGUCCUCAGCCUCGUGAAACUGUCCACCCUUCUUGUACAUUUGGAUGACAGUCCCCAUUGUCACCUCGUCAGGUUCAAUCCCUUGCUUGCUCAUUCUUCCAAGCCAAACGAGUGCCACUUCUCUCCGUCCACCUUUGCUGUAAACAUCAAUAAGUGCUCUAUAAGACGAGCUGAUUGGGACGAUCCCUUUGUCAUUCAUCUCAUCCCACAAAUGCUCUAUAUGCCACCACUGAUACGCCUUCCCCAUAAUCUUGAGCAUGAUGUUAUAAUGAAUUACAUUCAACUCAAAACAACCUUCUACUUGAAGUUAUGUUUUGGUCGACUAAAAAAAGACGAGACUAGAAUAAUAUUUAUGAACCUAUAUAUAUAAAGGAAUAGAUGUGAUUCAAAAUUGAUUAUUUAGAGAAAAAAAAACUGGCUAAUCACACAAUCUAAAGUUCCAAAAAUCCGAAUAAUGGCCAUUUUCCGUGGAUGAAGCAGUGUUCCGUGUUCAGCCAUGUCACGGCUCGCCCCUUUUCUAACAGUGACGUGCCGUCUACUUCCAAAUGGAGUCAAAGAAGACAGUGAUCUUUGGGGUGGACAGGUGGGCCCACCUAAGUUACGAGUAGCCCGGAUUAAAUGGUUUCGGGCCCAUUGUCAGAAAAUUUUUAACCCCCCUGGCCAAUAUAUAUAUAUUUACACCCGCAUACAUAGCGGUAGUUUACAUUUUUUUUCGGUAGUUUAUAUUUAAUAGUGUUAUGUUAUAACUGGGAUAUAAAGUUCUGGAUUUAUUAUUCAUAUAUUAUAACGCUUAGCUGAAACGAAGUGACGGUCAAAUAUGGGUCACAAAGUUUUUUGUGAAAACCUGUGACUUUCUCAACUAAUUUCAUUUUUACUCUAUUUUUUGUUUUUUUUUAGAUUUGUUUAAUUCUUUAUUGUUGCAAGCUCAAAUUGAGAAACAAAUUAAAGUAAUAAUAUUCAUGCAAUAAGAAACAAAUCCUCUUCAAAUGAUAAGAAAUAUAUGAAAAACUCAAUUGCAACUUUUAAAAUAGUGGAUAUUAUUUUUUGGCCAAAGAAAAAUAUUAUCUUAAUCACUAUAGAAAGGAAUGUAAUUAUCUUGUCCUUCUUCUUCUUUUUUGCAAAAUGUGUAAUUAUCUUGCACGCUUUGAAUUUUCAAUUUUUUUUAUAAGGAUUUUGUAAUUGAAUGAUUCAUAACUGCGGAGAAAGGUUGGUUAAUCUCUACUUUUCUUAUUGCAAGAAAGUAAGAGGUACUCAUUGUUAUUGAAUUUUAGUUAAUCUCUACUUUUCUUAUGCAUAAUUGAUAACAUUGGUCUUAAUUUUAGAUUAACCUUUUGGAGCAAUUUGAUUUGGGCAAAAGGACUGAGAAGUCAAUUCAUUGCAUGGUGAUUUUGUUACUAGUUCCGUUUACAAAUUUUCAAGUGUUUUUCAUCUUUUAAAUUUGAUAGAUCUUUGAUCAAAUUUUUUUUUGAUAGAUAUAUAUGAUAACAUUAAUGAUUUUUUUUAGUAGAUAAUAAUAUCUUUUACUUGUAACUAUUUAUAUUUCGAAAUCUAAUUUAUUUUUUCUUGCAUCAUAGUUAAGAGAAUUGAUUGCGCGGGCCCUCUUAUAAUUUUGUUUCUCAAUUUGGGCUUGCUAUAAGGAAAUUAAAAAAAGAAAAGAAAAAAGAAAACAGAUUAAAAAAUGAAAUUCCUCAAAAGUUGUUUGUGGUCUACGUUUGACCGUCAUUUCGCGAAUGACCCAUUUUUAUAGGGACGAGUGUAAAAAAAAAUCUAAACCUAUUGCAUAAGUACCAAUAUAAUCCUAAAUAUUUUAAUGAUAUCAAUUUAGUUCUAAACUUUUUAAUAGUAUCAAUUAAGUCUUAAACAUUUUAAACUAGUGCUAAUUUAGUUCUGAAUGUUUUAACUUUGUGUCAAUUUAGUCAUUUCAACUAAUUUUGAUUAAAUAUUGUCAAUGUAGAUGCUAGCCCGCUUACAUGACACCGCCCGGUACUGAUGUGGGUAAUUUUUAAUAAUAUUUUAAUAAAUUUUGAUUUUUUUAUUAUUUUUUUGAUUUUUUCUUUCUUUUUUCUCCCCUCACCCAAGUCAAGGAGUCCUUGCUAAGCGUUGCUAGAUUUGACGAGGGGAGCCCUCACCAAAAUUGCCCUCGCCCAAGCAAGGGUCAACCUCACCCAAGUUAGAUCCAACGAGGCCAACUUUCAUCGGGGCUUAGCCUUGCCAUGGCUAGGCGAGGCCAGCCCACCUGGCCGUGGCGAGUGGGCAGCCCUUACUUGUGGUCAGUGGCUAGUCACCAACACAAUGAAGAAGAAUAAAAAGAAGAAAGGAGAAGGAAAAAAAAAUGAAAGAAAAAAAAAUAAAAACAAAAUAAUUAUUAAAAUUGCUCAAGUUAGUACCACUAGUACCAUGUAAGCGAAUUGGUAUCUACGUCAAUAAUAUCUAACCAAAAUUAGUCAGAAUAACUUAAUUAGUACCGAGUCAAAACAUUUAAAUCUAAAUUAGUAUUAAUUUAAAAAGUUUAGAAUUCAAUUGACACCAUCAAAAGAUUUAUAAUUAAAUUAGCAACGCGUAAUAAAUUUAAGAUUUUUUUGACAUUUUUCCAUUUUUAUGUAUCUUGAAACCGUAGUACUUUACAGUUGAUUGGGAGAACGUCGGGCUAUUUUUUUUUUUCCAAAGGUGCAGUUGAUUGGUGUCUACAAAACCACCCGAAAAUGGCCAUGGUAGCACAUCAAGAGAGAAGAACCGUCCAAGUACAAUUCAGGAGAGAUAUAAUUUCACCCAUAAAAGAAAGGAUUUUAUUUGCAUGGGGGAGAAUCAAAGCACAAUCUCCAAGAUGAUAUUCCACCAUCGCACGUCAUUCUGAUUGACAUUUAGGGAACAAGAAAAAUUGAUCAAGCACGUGCGACCUUAAGGGUGGGCACGUCAAUUCGCCGAUCAUAUGCUGCAAAACCUAAAGGACGACUAGAAAGAAAGACUCAUCGAAAGACGAUUGAUGACGGACGACAGCCUACAAAGUCCAGCGCAUUUCACUCGCGCUUCCACGAUUCAAUGAGUUUGGCCAACGCCAACCGAGAUGACCCACCGGGGCUCAGCGCAGCCUCAGCUUCUUCCUUCAUGGCAAGCACUCGCUCUCUCACGGUCUCGCCCUCCUCCCUCUCCAUCAACUCUCCGACUCGCUUCUCCACUUCCUCCGAACUCACCAGCCCGUCCUCUGACUCGUCCACCGGCAGGGCGAUUUUCAUCUCCUGCACCAGCACCACCUUGUUGUGCCCCUGCUCCGCGUACAGUGGCCACGCCAGCAUCGGCACGCCGGCGCGCACAGCCUCAAGCACCGAGUUCCACCCGCAGUGAGUCACGAACCCGCCCACCGAGGGGUGGCUCAACACCGCCACCUGCGGGGCCCAUUUCUUGACCACGAGCCCCCUCUCUUUGGUACGUUCCAAAAAGCCCUCCGGAAGCAGGGAGCCCAAGUCCAGGUCGGCCACCGUCGACGACGUAGCGGCCUUUUGGUUCUUGUCAUUUGUCGGGUCACGGACCACCCACAAGAACCGGUGACCGCUCCUCUCCAGCCCCAACGCUAUUUCCUUCAGUUGUUCCACCGUGAACACGCCCAAGCUCCCGAAACACAGGAACACAACGCUCCCUCUAGGCUGCGAGUCCAGCCACGUCAGAGACUCUGGCGAUCUGCCAUCGUCGUGUCUGCCGCUAGAGGUCAGUGGUCCGAUGCAAUAAAGUGGCGGAGUGGACCCGUUGGGCACACAUUCGCCGUCCACGAUGGCUCGUAUAGCUCUUGGCUCGAGCUUCUCGAAGGUGUUGACUAUAAUCCCGGUCGAAGUCUGCAUCUUCAGAGAUGAAUCCAAGAAGCCCUUGUAGGCCUCGUCGUAGCGAUCUUGCAAUGGUUUGAUAACAUCGGAGGGCAGUAUUGACGGUGUGCCGGGGACAUCGAUGGGGGCAUCGAAGUCUUUAAUGCUUUUGUCAAACUUGUCGUGAAGAGUUGGGGUGUAGAGUAAGAAGUUGAGGAAACAGGCGCCGGAAGUGAAGAAAUAGUAGCAGGGGAUCUUGAGCUCACGCGCAACGUCGACGGCGGGGGCGCAGAAGAAGUCGAUGAUGAAGCCGUGAAUUAUGUGGUUUUUUGAGAUAGAGGUGAGGGUAUGGUGGACAUUUGGGUUGUUGAGGCGGAGGAGCUCGAAGGCGAGGGUCUCGUGGUGGGGGGAGGCGGUGGAGAAAUCUGGAGGAAGGGUGGUUGCAGGGAAGAAGUGGAAGACGAUGGAGGGGGCGGUGGCGGAGACAGAGGUGAUGUAGGCGGUGGUGGAGCCGGCGUCGUAAGCUUGGUUGGUGAUGAGGAUGUGAAUGGAGAGGGAAGGGCGGUAGGUGAGGAGGAGCUUGCCGAGUUCCACCAUGGAGAUGAGGUGGCCGAUGGCCGGUGACGGAUACAGCACGAGUGCUUCUUUCAUUAUUUGGGCCUGUUGUUGUUCCUUGAGCGACAUUGACAGUUUUCUACGUAAUGACACACACAGAGAAGGAGCAAAUGAAUUAGAGUGGUUCAGUCGGCCAAGGAGAGAGCCACUGGAAGACUACGCUAAUGAUGGGAAACUCACAAUUCUUCGUAUCACAUUGGGGGUAUUUCAUUAUAUUUAAAUAAGAUGGAAUACUUAUUUAGGGAUGUACAUGAAUAUCAGAUAUAAUUUUUUAUUUCCUUAUUAGCCAGAUCUGCUAUUAAAUUUGGACUCCAUUAACUAGCGGUUAUUAUUUUUCCAAAACUCCCCUCCAAGCUAGGGAUUUUAUUAUCUUUAAAUAGCUGAAAUUUUUUAUUGAAAAUUCCUGUUUGUAAGGUCAAAGCAUGGGCCCAAUAUUGUUUAAAUCUGGAUCCUUGAAAAUGUUCAUCUUACAAAAUGUGAUAGUUUAAAUUCAUUUUGAUAUAUGUACUAGAUUUAUGGAAUAUCUGUUCUAAAAUAUGAUCACUUAAGUGCCAUUUAAAAAAAAAAAAAAAGAUCACUUAUAUGCCGACUUUGAUGAGGAUCCGUGGAAAUUCGACAUGGCCAUGUCUUAUUAAUGUAUUAAUCUAAUGUGGCUUGUUAGUGUGUCUAGUCAAUAUAUAAACUUUAAAUGACAUCAUUUAUAAUAUUUACCCCAAUUAAAAACCAUAAAUUAGUAAAUUGACGCAAUUUCCAAUGUUGAACCCUAACAACCAUUCAAACCAAAAUCCAAACCCUAACUCGAUUUGCCACAAACAACUCAAUCUUGCAAAUGGAGUGUAGAAGCUUAUGAGCCUUGCAUCAAGUAUAGUAAAGGCUCAAAGUGCAAAUAUUUCAAAUGGGUUGAUGCCAAAUUCUAAGGUCAAGUGACAAAGGUUAUCUUGGAGUGAAGAAGGAAGUUUCAAGGCUAAAAAGGGGAGAAAAAAAAGGUGUUAUUGAAUGGUGAUUGCAUUGUUAUGUUGUUUGACCUAUCUUAUCCUCAAAUGUAGAGUAAGCAAUGAGAAAAAAUUUCUCAGUCCACCAUAGUUGAAAACUUGUGGAAUAUGUAAUUGUAUUAGGGUAAUCUGUAAAUUUAAUUAUGUUACUGGCUUGCUAAAAUUUUUGUUGGAAAGCAAACCCAUAUGCGUUAUAAGUGGAAAUGCGAUUACAAUUCAAUUAAUGAUGGGUUGUGUACCAUGCGAUGCAAUUGAUCUUCAUUGCUGUAAUUUUUGGUCAUUUGUUGGAAAUAUGAUUGAAAUUCAAUCCUUGUAAAAUUAACAAUUUCUCUUACUUAGUUGUGUAUGUUAAUUCUUGUAUAAUUUGUUAGUCUGCUUUAAUAUUUGUUGCAAACGCUAGUAAAGUUAGCAAGUGGUAACAAGUUUGUGAGUGAUUAGUUGAAUGCCAAAAGUUAUGAAUAAUGAUUGUUUGAAUGCCAAUUUUUGUUUAAAAUGAUUAGUUCAAUGCUAGUUAUUGCUGAAAAGCGAUCUCUUCGAUGCCAAGCACACACCGGCACAAAGAAGUGCUGGUGUAGUUUGUUACUUACACUAGUUGCACAAACACGUGCUAGUGUAAUCACAUACCAACAACACUAGUAGUCCCAAAAUAAACUUGCACUAGUAGCACAAGACCAAGCAAGCCAAAAGCAAGAUGAAAAAUGGACAUUGGCAAAAUAAUAGACAAAACUAGCAAGAUUAAUUGGCUAGUGCAAUCUUGCCGCGACCAAAAUUCCGAGUGAACCACCUACGAUUUGGCUAAUGGAUUACUAAGCCUAAACUUAGCUCGAGCAUUCAAAUCUGCAGGAAAGUUCUGUCACUAUAAAAAAAGGGGGAGAUUGUUGGAGAAAACUCUAUUAUUUUGAAGUUGACAAAACGUUUCCAUCAGUCUAGUCUAAAGACUUCAAGACUCAUUUAUUAAAAUUUGAUGAACUCCAGACUCUGUCGACAAAGUCUGAAGACUGCAAGACUCAAGACUUAAAGUCUACCCUCACUGGCAGUUUCUUGACCAACGAAGAGAAGACUUAUCUAGAUGCGAGUUUAUCUUUAAGGAUUCGGUUCGUACGGUUUAAAGAAGAUCUUAUGGCUGGAGAUAGCACCUUAUGAUCAAUUAUUCUUAUUGGAAUCAAUUUGGAUAAUCAAGAUCUUUUGAAAGGCAAAGUAUACUUUGAAGGUUCUACUUAUGAAAACCUAGAUCCUGAUUGUAUGGGCGAGCAGGAUUUGUGGGCUAUCAUCACAUUCCUUAAAUGACUUGAGAUUUCCUUGAUUGAUUCUAUCCAACAGGUAGAUUAGAAAAAAAUCAUUUGGAAAGUGCCAACGGAUAUAGAGGCAUGAAGGAGUAUAUAAGGAAGACGCUUAAGUUGUUCGAGUGUUUGCGUAAAAGAAAAAUUUCAAAGUCUGAAGCUCUUAGUUCUUUGCUUUCUCAAUUGCUGAGCUUAAGUUGUACUCAAAAGAGAGAUUAAAUACUUGUGAGACCUUGAGGAAGUAUAGUAUGUCUCUACACCGUGGAAUCAAGGAGGUGAGACUGUAAAAAUCUCUUUUGGUUCAUAGUAAAAUCCAGCCGGUGCACUGUUAGUGCGGGAGAGUAGACCUAGGCUUGGUUUAAACUGAACCACUAUAAAAUUUGUGUUUCAAUUCUCUUUCCCUAUACUCCUUGCUUUAAUUCAUAGCUUUAUCUAACUGCUUAUAGUCUUUUACAUAUUCAAUCUGUUAUUCUUGAAAGACGAGUUAACUUGUUGAAAGUCUAGCGAAAAUUUGCUAGAACACUUAUUCAUCCCCCUCUAAGUGUCCUUACUAGCCCUAUCAAUUGGUAUCAGAGCUUGCAUGCUCAUUUAGUUGAAGUAUUUUUACUUCUGAGUUAAAGAUCUAUGGCUAGUAUGUUGGCUCCAAGUUUAAUUGAAGGUCAAUGUAACACUAGACCUCCUUACUUUGAUGGAAAAUAAUACAGCAUAUGGAAAAACAAGAUGAAGGCAUUCUUAAGAUCAAAAGAUCCUCUAGAAUGGGAUGUGAUAGAAAAAUGAAUCACACCUAAAACUGCAUCAGUUUCAAAAAGAGGAAAAGAAGUUGCAGAAGCUAGCGACAUAACACAAGAAGAAAUAACUAAGAGACAAGCUGUUGAUGCUAAAGCAAUUUACUCUUUAUAUUGUGCUUUAUCUCCUACUGAAUAUAACAGAAAUUCUUCUUGGGAAACAGCCAAAGAAGUCUGGGAUAGGCUGCACAUUACCUAUGAAGGCACUGAUCGAGUGAAAGAAACAAUAAUCAAUAUUUUACUCGAACAGUGUGAAGCCUUCAAGAUGAAGCAAUGAGAAUCUAUCAUUGAUAUGUUUAGUCAUUUUACAGAGAUUGUAAAUGGUCUGGAGUAUCAAUGUCAGCCAAUCUCAGGAUCAAUGAAGGUUAACAAAUUGCUGCAUGGACUCUCCAAAGACUGGAAUCACGUGAAGACUUCAAUAAGGAAUAUCAAAGGAUCAUGCCGCUUUCUGUAAACAAACUGGUUGGCACACUUCAGUCUUAUAAAGUGGAGCAAAUCAACGAGGAAGAAAAUCCCAAGGGUAAGAAGUUAGUUACUUUAAAAUCUAAUGAUGACUCUGAUAUUACAGACUCUGAAGAUGAUAUGGACGAUGAAGAAUUAUCACUUAUGAUAAGGAGGUUCAAGAAACUGAACAAAAAGGGAAGAUAAUUCAAUUAGAAGAAACAAAACACUCAAAAGAUUCAAAACAAAUCAACUGAGGAUGAUGAAGCAAACAAAGACGCAAUCUGUUUUGAAUGCAAGAAAAAUGGACACAUGAUACCCAACUAUCCUCUGUUGAAGAAAAAUAAGGGAAAAGCUGAGAAAUAUAGAAAUGCUCUCAAAGUAAAGACAUGGAGUGAUACCGAAUGUGAAGAAAGUAACGAAGAUUAUGCCAAUAUAUGUCUAAUGGCAAAAUCAAGAUUAGACUUAAACUCUGAGACAUAUUUAGAUUCAGACUCAUACAGUGAAAUCGAGGUCACUAUCAAGAAAAAUAUUAAAUGGUAUUUAGAUAGUGGCUGUUUGAGAUACAUGAUUGGAGAUUCAAGUUGUUUUAUAAAAAUUGUGCAAAUAAAUGGUGGAAAAGUCUCUUUCAGUCGAAACAACAAAUGAAAAAUUGUUGGGUGUGAAACUAUAAAAAUUGGAAGUCUCACAAUCAACAAUGUCUCCUUGGUAGAAGGACUAAAUUACAAUCUAUUGUGCAAUACUAGAUUCAAAAUCGACUUCUAAGAAGGAAUAUGUUUGGGAACUAGUAAAUAUCUUUCUCAAUUUUUACUGGAUGAAGACAUGGGAACAUUUAUCUUCUGGAUAUAAAACCAGAAAGAUCUCAAUGUCUAAUAUCGAUUCAAGAUGAAGCAAAUUUUUGGCAUCGAAAGCUUUGCCAUGUUAACAUGAAGCAAAUUGCCAAGAUCUCAUCCAAAAAUCUUGUUCGUGGACUGCCCAACCUGAAGUAUUAAAAGUUUGACUUAUGCACACCAUGUGUGUUGGGAAAACAGGUUAGAAGCUCUUUUAAACCAAAAAAUCAUAUUUCUACUAAUCGUGUUCUGCAGCUUCUGCAUAUGGAUCUCUUUGAACCAACUAAAACUCAAAGCAUUGGUGGAAAGAGAUAUUGCUUGGUAAUUGUGGAUGAUUAUUCAAGAUUUACUUGGGUUUUACUUUCUGACAAAAUCAAUUGAUUCAGACUUAACCUGAAGAUUCUGAACCUACUCUAGACUUUACAAAGUCUACCACAAAGUCUACCUCCCCUAAAGUAGCUCAGACUUCUGAAGAUCAACAACAAACGAAAUGAUCAACUAAAUUAGAAGAUCAACAAACUGUCAGACCAACCAGUAACUGGAAGCAUAAGUCUAGUCAUCCAAAAGAACUCAUCAUUGACAACAUUGAUGAAGGGAUUUGCACCAGAUCCAAAAGGCAAGAAGAGUCUAGUGCUUUGGCACUUAUUUUUGAAAUAGAGCCCAAAAGCAUAGAAGAUGCCUUAGUUGACGAAAGCUAGAUUGAAGCUAUGCAAGAAUAACUCAAAUAGUUUAACAUCAACGAUGUCUGGGAAUUAACUCAUAAACCAAAAGGUAAAUCCAUUAUUGGAGCUAAAUGGAUUUUCAGGAACAAGAUGGACAAAAAAGGAAAAGUGGUUUGAAACAAAGCAAGACUCGUGGUCAAAGGAUAUACGUAAGAAGAAGGGAUAGACUAUGAUGAGACUUACGUACUAGUAGCAAUGUUAGAAGCAAUUAGAUUAUUAUUCGCUUUUGCUUGCUAUAAAAAUUUCAAGUUAAUCCAAAUGGACGUCAAAAGCGCAUUUUUAAAUGGAUUUAUCCAAGAAGAAGUCUAUGUGGAACAAUCUCCUAGAUUUGAAGAUCCAAAGAGACCAGACUCAGUAUUCAGACUGAAGAAUGCUCUAUAUGGAUUAAAACAAGCACCUCAAGCUUGGUACGACAGGUUAAGUAAGUUUCUAAUCAUAAUGGUUUUGUUAAAGGUAAAGUGGAUACUACUUUAUUUAUUAAAAGAGAAGGUAAAGAUUUUCUACUCGUUCAAAUCUAUGUUGAUAAUAUCAUAUUUGGAUCACCUAACGAAAACCUGUGCAAGAAGUUUUCUGAGUCUAUGCAGGAUGAAUUUGAGAUGAGCAUGAUGGGCGAUUUGAAGACCUAUUGAUUUUAACAACUGAUUGCAGAGUUGAUCAUUCGGACCUUUCAAUUCAUAGACUACUUGUUACAAAUAACAUCUUGUUGUUGCAUCGAAACAUAUAAAUGUUGACUAAUCUGGAUUAUCGAGCAAGAUUUGAUAGGUAAUAGUCAACAAAUUGGAAUUCAUUUAGCGCCUCCCGAUUGUAUUUCACUUGAGAUGAAAGAAAAGAUAGUCUUUUCUUUAUUAUGAAGAAAAGACUUUUUCGAAGAUUCUAUAUCAGUUUCUCUAUGAAACCGAGACCUUCAAGUACGGCUACUUUGUUAUGACUUCACUCUAGUCACUAGCCCUGCCUUUGGCAUCCCCCUCGAUAAGAGAGAAAUCUUGUAUCAGACUACUUGUCUUCUUGUAGUUGGAUCUCCAAGUUUUUGGAAUGCUCCAUUUGUGUAUUGAUAAGACCAUUCACUAUUUCUUGAAGCUCGAUCUCUUCAACGUCUCGAGAUUCAGGCGAUUGCAGAUGAUAUAACUAGUAAAUAUGUUCCUUCUCAUGUCAACAUAUUUUAUUGUCUAAGAGGAAUUACGGGUGAACUAUCUUUCUUUCUCGGAUUACAAGUAAAGCAAUUAAAGGAAUGAAUUUUCAUUCACCGAGAAAAAUAUGCAAAAGAUCUCGUCAAAAAGUUCGGAUUGGAGAAUGGCAAAAAGACUGAAAUAUCAAUGUCAAGUUCUUCGAAGCUGGACAAAAACGAAGGAGGAAAGAAAGUUGACCAAAAGCUAUACAGGAGCAUUAUUGGUUCACUUCUUUAUCUUAUUGCUUCUAGACCUGACAUUUUGUUUAGUGUUUGCAUUUGUGCUAGAUUUCAAUAUGAUCCCAAAGAAUCUCAUCUGAGUACUGCAAAACGCAUCAUCAAAUACAUUGCAACUACUUCAAAUUUAGGUCUGUGGUAUCCCGAAGAAGGAGACUUUACUCUCAUUGGAUAUUCAGACGCAGAUUUAGUAGGUUGCAGAGUUGAUAGAAAGAGUACCUCCGAUACAUGUCAAUUGUUGGGAAACAGGACAAUAUCUUGGUUUUCAAGGAAGCAAAGCACUAUAGCUCUUUCAACAACAGAAGCAAAGUAUGUGGCUCUUGAAAGUUACUGUUCUCAAAUCUUAUGGAUAAAACAACAAUUGAGAGAUUUUGGAAUCGAAGACUUGUGUACUAAGAUCAAAUGUGACAACACCAACACAAUCAAUCUUACAAAGAAUCCAAUUCUUCAUUUAAGAGCAAAGAACAUAGAGAUUCGACAUCAUUUCAUUAGAGAUCAUGUUCAGAAUGGAGAAGUUAUGAAAGAAUCAACUAGCAUACAUAUUUAUAAAGCAUCUGGAGAAAAGCCUAUUUGGGUCUAUUCACACCAGACUGAAUAUCACAACUUUUAUCCAAUAAAGUCUGAAUAUGCUUAGACUCAAAGGUAAAGUCUGAAGUUAUUCAGACUCAGAAUAACUAAAAGUUACGGCUAUAAGUUAUUUCAAUUUCAGCAUUUUAAAUUUUUAAAAGGGUACGGUUACUCUUUAAUUGCUAAUUGAUUGUUAUAUUUUUAGAAAUGAUCUUUUCCGAGCCUUUGAAUUUAUGGCAAUUUUUCUUUUUUAAAAAGGCAGUUAUUCAUUUUCAAAAAGACAGUUUUAUUUAUUCCUUUAUAACAAUUCGUAUACCUCGUUUUGUUCGCUUUAUAUACUGUUGUUUUUCUUCUUCGUUUUCAUUCACAAACCCUAGAUCAUAGAGCCUCUCUUUCUCACUCUUUCUCACUAGUUUAAUCCAUAAAGUUCUCAUCUUUUUCGCAAAUUCGAGAGAUCUCUCAAAGACUGUGACAAUGUCUUCCCAAAGGAAGUCCUCUAGGAUCACAAGCAGGGGACCACAGCAUAUGCGUGAGGGUCCUACGCACUUUGAUCUAACCGAGGAAGAAGACUCUCCAAGGCAUCAGCAAAGUCAACAACAUUUUCAACUGCGCCAUUCUUCUCAGGCUAGAGCUCAAGUGCCUUCGCAACAACAAGCAGAAGAAAAGGAUCAUGGUGAUUCUCAUGCAGAGGAAGAAGGACAAGAUCUUUGUGAAGAAGAGCAAGAGUAAGAAGAGUACUUUUCUCCACUUGAAGACAUUGAAACAUGGGGAGCUGCUGAUAAAAGAGGUACUUCUUCACUUGCUUUUACUAGUGAUAAUGUUAGUUGUUCUCCUGCCAAUCUAGAAGAUGUUUAUGCCUCUCAAUUUCUUGAAGAUCGUAAUGAGGCUUCAUCUCCAAGUUUGAAUGUACAUGCUGAAGUUCCAUCAUCAGUUAAUACUCCACAAUCUGAUCGUGCUGAAGCAAGUACUCAAACUGACAAUACAGUAGACUUUAAAAGACUGCUCGAGCUUCUUUUGGAGAUUAAAGCUCAGAUUUAUGGGUUGGGAUGUGAAUUUCAAACCAUGUAGAAUGCUCAUAAAGCCACUUCUGUUUCUUUGCACGACCAAGUACAAGCUCUUAAUCUUCAAGUUUAAGCAAAUGCAAAGGGUGAAGAUUUAGAACAAUUGAAGGAGGAUCUGCGGAAGCUAGAGGAGACUGUUAAGUCUAUGGGGGAUUUUCAACUCGUUCACAUCCCCAAGCAAUCUUGAUUUUAUCCACUUCUUUUUAUGUUCUCCACUUUUUACUGUUGACAAAAAUGGGGAGAAAGUUUGUGUAGAUUUGACUAUUGGUUUGGACUUUUGGACUUAUCUUUUGGUUGUGGAUUGGACUUGUUGACUGUUUGAUUUGAUCUAUGUAAUCUUGUUUGAUCUUUUGAUUCUUACAGUAACUUAGGCUAUGACAAUGAUUAUGGAAGGAUAAUUAUUUUGCAGGACUAACGUGUUUUUGUGGUUGCAGAAUCAUUACUAUCAUUGUCCUAAUCUACUCACUUGUUAUGAGAUAUCUUGUUUUGCUAAAGUUUUGUUUGCAGGUCAAAAGCAUUCAAAUUUGCAAAAAAGUUUUGUCACCAUAAAAAUGGGGAGAUUAUUGGAGAAAACUCUCUUAUUUUGAAGUUGAUAAAACGUUUUUAUCAGUCUAGUCUGAAGACUUCAAGACUCAAUUAUUAAAGUCUGAUAAACUCCAGACUCUGUCGUCAAAGUCUGAAGAUCGCAAGACUCAAGACUUAAAGUCUACCCUCACUGACAGUUUCUUGACCAACGAAGAGAAGACUUAUCCAAAUGCGAGUUUAUCUUUAAGGAUUCAGUUCGUACGGUUUAAAGAAGAUCUUACAGCUAGAGAUAGCACCUUAUGAUCAAUUAUUUUUAUUGGAAUUAAUUCGGAUAAUCAAGAUCUUUUGAAAGGUGAAGUAUACUUGGAAGGUUUUACUUAUGGAAACCUAAAUCAUAAUUGUAUGGACGAGCAUGAUUGGUGGGUUAUCAUCACAUUCCUUAAACGACUCGAGAUUUCCUUGAUUGAUUUUGUCCAACGGGUAGAUUGGAAGAACUUUUUUGGAAAGUGCCAACGGAUAUAGAGGCAUGAAUGAGUAUAUAAGGAAUAUGCUAGAUUUGAAGAAAUUUUUUGGAAAGUGCCAACGGAUAUAGAGGCAUAAAUGAGUAUAUAAGGAAUACGCUCAAGUUGUUCGAGUGUGUGCAUAAAAGAAAAUUUUCAAAAUCUGAAAUUCUUAGUUCUUUGCUUUCUCAAUUGUUGAGCUUAAGUUGUACUCAAAAUAGAGAUUAAAUACUUGUAAGACCUUGAGAAAGUGUAGUAGAGUCUCUACACUGUGGAAUCAAGGACAUGAGACUGUAAAAAUCUCUUCUGGUUCAUAGUAAAAUCUAGCUGGUGGGCUGUCAGUGUGAGUGGUCGUAGGCUCCCUAUAAUCCUUACUUUAAAUUCGUAGCUUUAUCUAAAUGCUUAUAGUCUUUUACCUAUUCAAUCUGUUAUUCUUGAAAGACGAGUUAACUUGUUGAAAGUUUAGCAAAAAUUUGCCAGAACACCUAUUCACCCCAUUUAGGUGUCCUUACUAGCCCUAUCAGUUUGCACUCAUAGCACGUGGUCUGGCCGUCAAUGGGCAGGAGUAGAUCAUAGGAGCAACAGCUUCUUCGCGGUGACUCAGGAAAGCAGUGGACUGUCGUGGUAAUUGGGCCGAAGCUUUAUUCGUGUUGGGAAUGACUGAUCCCCGAAAAACCGGAUUCGACACUAAAUCGAACCCCUAAAACGAAUGCGGAAGCGAAGCCCGGGAAAACACGUAUCACCGAUCGUAAAGCACACCACGGAGUCGAGCGUACCUUGUUAGCCACAGAUUAGACACCAAUGCCGAUUGAGGAAGAAAAUCCGGUCGAAUUCGAUCCGAUGAAGCCUUGAAGGGAAGAAUUAGAAGCCGUAUGCCUACUGUUCCUUUUGAGAGAGAAAACACGCGAGAGAGAAAAGACGUGCGUAAUUUCUAAUUCCAACAGACGUCUUCUCUCUCUCUCUCUCUCUCCCUUUUAUACCUCCCCCCAUCCACGGGCCAUAUUCCCGUGGGCCGGGCUCUCUUGGCCCAACUUGGGCGGACGGGCCUUAAGCCCAAAUUAAAUAAAGCCUUCAUCUCCCACUCGCACAUGGUGGGCCGAACAAUAUUCUCUUUACCUCUCUUCAACAUUCAUACCGGUGAAUAAUCCGUGCGACCAGCAUACUUUGAGAGCUCGUUGCCAUACAUCUGUUAGGAAUAUAUAGCAGCUCAUAAUGGGCAUCACACUCCGAGUAGAUUUAGUAUGCAGUACCCUAGAUCGAUUGAUCACAUUUAUAUCUCUCUUGAUCUCUUUCAAACAAUGAUAUAUAUAUAUAUAUAUAUAUAUAUAUAUAUAUAUUGUAUUCACAAUUAUGAUUAUCACAAAGACAGUCAUAAUUGGUUAACCGGUGAAUACAAAACUACAAUGUGAUUCUCCAAAAUCGGUCUUCCUCUUUCCUUCAAACUCUCAAUUUCAGUUCAGCUUGCUUUUCUAGAAAUGUCCCAUUAGAUCGAAUCAAACUCAUGACCAUUGGCAACAUCCUAAGAUAGCAAACACUAAAUAGAAAUCUUGAGAAUAAGUAAGAGUCAUGAGGGGACUAAAAAAUUGAGGAACUCUUUUCCUCAAGAGUCUCACACGACAUAAAAAAGUUGAGAUCAAACUUUUGCCACUCUUAUUGGUCGUCUCAUGCAUACGUAGUAUGAAAUACGUAUUACGGUAUCAACUCCUUUCCCAUGGAGCGUAUGUCUACACCUUUCAAUACCGUACAGAUGAUAGUUCAGACAUACCCAAUGUCUAACUUGAGUUCACGUAUCUACUCAUUCACUAAAUUCAUCAGAACUCACAUCUGGCAUCAUAGACAAAUAAAGUAAAAUAUGUGGGGUAUUUUACUCUCGGACAUAGUAAGUAUUAUGUCCUCAUCUUAACACCCAGUUAAGGUGACAUACGUGUUUUAAGCUUGAGCUCUCGAUUAUCACCUAGAUAAUAAGCUUAAAAACAGUCUCAUCUCUAUUUAUCACACAGUAAAUAGAGGCGAUUACCCGUGUGAGUGGGCUAAUCUCAUAUCUGUCCGACAUACUUUCCUAACUUAAAGUAAUGCACUGAGCAUUAAGAUGCAUAAAGAUCAAACAAAGAUUCAUAGGCAUUAAUGAUGAAAAACAUAAAUUCAUCGUAUGUGAACACUUAGGGAAAAUUAUAAUAUUCAGUACAUUAGCCUCUACGCAGUCCUAGAGAUUUCAUAUGACCACAAAACACAUCUCUAGGUACUGGCUUUGUCAUAGGAUCUGCUACCAUUCUAUGCGUAGUAUGUACUCUAAGUUCACAUCUUUUCAUACAAUCAUAUCCAUGACAAAAUUAUACUUGGUAUCUAUAUGUUUGGUCUUGCCAUGAUAUUUUGGAUCCUUGGUGUACGCUUUUGCUGCUUGGCUAUCAUAAUUAACCAACAAUUAAUCUGCAGCACUUCCAAUAACACCUAAAUGAUCCAAAAAAUCUCUUAAGCCAAACAUCUUCUUAUACUACUGCUGAUAAUGCCACGAACUCAAUUCCCAUCGUGGACAAGGCUAUACACUUUUGUUUCUUAUUGCUCCAACACAUGGUGCCAUUAUUCGGUAAGAGAACAAACCUAGAGGUAGAUUUCCUUUUAUUUAAAUCUCCUCCCCAAUCAUCAUCAGAAUAGCCUUAGAGUCGCAGAUCCUUUCCAUAAUAACUCAGCGUAUAAUCAGCAGUCCCCUUUAGAUACCUUAGUAUUCUUUUAACGGCUUUCCAACGUGCUUGACCUGGAUUGGAUUGGUAUCUGCUCACCAUUCCAACUACAUAACAUAUGUCAGGUCUUGUACACAUCAUAGCAUACAUCAAGCUCCCAACAGCACUAGCAUAAGGAACAUGUUUCAUUUGUUCCUUUUCUUGUGGAGUCCUUGGACACAGUCUAUGGCUUAAUCCUUCACCUUUUGCAAUAGGAGUGUUUAUGGGUUUACAAUCCCAUAUCAUUCAUCUCAAAGUUGGAAGACAACCAACUUUUGACAGUAUGAAUAAACUCCAUAUUACUUCCGGCAAUUGGUAUAUCAUCAACAUAUAAUGAUAUGAUCACAAAUUGAUCCUUGGAUAUUUUGAUAUAUAUACAAUGAUCCUCAUCUAUCAUUGUAAGGUCAUAAGCUAUUAUGGCAUUAUGAAAUCGUAUAUACCAUUGUCUUGACGACUGCUUAAGGCCAUAUAUCGACCCUCAAAGUCGACAUACCUUUUCUUCUUAGCCUUUUACUAUGAAACCAACGGGUUGUUCCAUAUUUAUUUCUUCCUCUAAUUCUCUAUUGAGGAAAGCAGUCUUUACAUCCAUUUGAUGUAACUCAAGAUCCAUACCAAACACUAUUGCCAGAAUUAUGCAAAUCAAGGUAAAUCUCACUACAGGAGAGAAUGUUUCUACAUAAUCAAUUCAUUCCUGUUGAUUAUACCCCUUCGCCACAAGACGAGCCUUAUGCUUUCUAUCGAGCCAUCAGCCUUUCGCUUUAUUUUGAGAACCCACUUGUUCCCAAUAGCUCCGCGUCCCUUUUGGAAGAUCAACCAGUUCCCAGACUUGGUUUGACUUCAUUGACUCCAUCUCCUCUUUCAUUGCAUAAAUCCAUUUUUCCUUACUAGGGCAUUUAAGAGCCUCAUUAAUAUUUCUUGGCUCAUCCUCAUCUUGCGGAUCAAUCAUAAAAGUUUCCCCUUCAAUGUCAAGACGUCGACGGGGAAUACUUUGGAAACUUUUUCGCCGUAUGGGAGAUUGUACACUUAGCACAUCAUUCCCAAUUAUGCUCCCACUCGGAUUAGAUAAUAACGAUAUCAUCUCAUCAUGUGAUUGUAAUUUGAGAAUGAGUUGAAUUCAAUUAAUCACUUCUCAUAUUACUCCCACUUGGACGAACUCCACUGACAUCAUUAUUUUGAUCCAAGGUUUCAAAUAGGAAGUAAUCUUCCCCUAUUUCGCCCUUCUUAGGAAAUUCAUCCACUAAGAAUGUGACAUCCCGUGAUUCAAAAUUAAGUUAUUCUCCCACUUUCCUGCUCACCUAUGAACACAUACCCUUUCGAGUGUUCGGAGUAUCUCAUUAAAAUACUCUACUUUUAUCUGGGACUCAAUUUCCCAAACUUGUGAGAGGACAUAUGAGUAUAGGCAGCAUAACCCCAUGGCUUAAGUAAACUUAAGUCCGGUUUCUACCUAUCCAUAACUCAUAUGGAGUGGAACUAACUGAUUUGGAAGGCACCCGGUUAAGUAUUUAGGCAGCAGUUAACAACGCAUCACUCCAAGAAGUGAUAUGUAAGUUAGCAUACACCAUCAUGGACCUAACCAUUUCCAGUAGGGUUCUGUUUCUUCUCUCUGCAACACCAUUUUGUUGAGGAGUAUAUGGAAUAGACAACUAUAUUUCUAUUCCUUUUCAUCACAUUAUUUUCUGAACUCAUCAGAUAAAUAUUCUCGAUCUCGAUCGGAUCUCAAUACUUUUAUUUUCUUGUCUAAUUGAUUUUCUACCAAGUUCAUAAACCUUUUUGAAACAACUUAUGCUUCAGAUUUAUGAGAAAUCAAAUAGACACAUCCGAAUUGAGUAUAAUCAUCUAUUAAAAGUGAUGAAGUAAACAGUCUCAUGCCUUCUUCUCACAUUCAUUGAACCACAAACGUCAUAAUGGAUUAAAUGCAGAGCAACGUCAGCUCUUUUACCUUUUCCAAAUGGUUUCCUUGUCGUUUUCCCUUCUAGGCAAUGCUUACAUAUGGACAAAUCGACUUAUUCAAUAUUGCCCAACAAGCCCUCUUUGGCUAGUCUAUUCAUAUGUUGUUGGCCAAUAUGACCAAGUCAAGCAUGCCGCACAUUCACAUCAUUAUCAUAUGAAGUAGGAGACGUGAAACAAAGGAAUAACAUAUAUUGACAUCACCACAGUCAACAUUUAGUACAAUAAAACCAUCUAGAAAAUGACCACAAUUAUAGUAGUUUGUAUCCAAAUACAAAUCUAUAGCUCUAUUAUGGAAGUUCAUAUUAAAACCAAGCUUAACCAACAGCAAAACAGACACUUAAAUUUCGACGAAUCUCCAGAGCAUUUAGAACAUCAUGUAGGAACAAGUUGCGUCCACCACACAUGUUCAGUUGGCAGGUGCCAAUCCCUAUUAACCUCAGCUCUGGAGUUGUUUUCCACAUAGAUCCACUCAGUUCCAGUUGGUAUUCGUCGGAAUUCCACGAAGGAUCCCUUAUCCUUCGCUACAUCGUCUGUUGCUCCUGAAUCUACAGUCCACAAAGGAUUGGAUUCAGCCAAUAAUUCAGAACUUGACACAUAAUCAAAGUUCUCAAAUGUACAAGAGGUGUAUGCCUUCUUUGGCUCACGACAGUCGCGAGCAUAGUGACCUCUCUUGUCACAAUUGUAACAUUUCACCCUUGACAUUUUCUUCACUUGAGGACGUUUUCCUCUCUUGUGUUGGUUAACUCUUGAUUUCUUGCAAUAAGGACUUGAUCCUUUACAUUCCCACAUAUUGAACGAAUCAAUACGUUUGCGCUUCUAGCACAAAGCCCUUUCUGAGCUAGAACCAGCAUUGAAAAUAUCUAUUUUCGGCUCACAUGCCGUCAAGCGGUCCUCUACCAGCUCAAGGUGGCGCACAGCAUCCUCAAGAUCUUCCAUAACAUGGUCAAGAGCUUCUAGUGCUUCUUGCUUUUCCAGCACAUAUUGAAUCUUCAUAUUUAAUAUUUCACAAUUGUAGCCGUUCAUAUCAGCAAUUACAUUCUUAGUUGCUGAACCAUCGUUCUGAACACAUCAGACAUACAUGCACGAAUAAUUAAUGCCUAUCAUUUAUGCAUCCCUAUUUGCAUAGACCCAUUAUAUUAAUGAAUAAUUUCAAGUAAGGCUUCAGAAUCAAAAGGUCACUAUGUUUCCAAUCAUCCUCCAAAAAUCCUAACUCAAAAUUAUUAUUAAUAUAAUUGUCUUAUGCAAAUAAAUUCUAUGAAGUUACAAAAACUUCUAUUACUAUCCACAGCUAAUUACCCACAACAACCAGCAAUAGCAGAAAGCAAAUAAAAUCUUAACAUCGAAUAAAAUAACAAUGCUUUCACAUGAUACAACUAACAUAUCGAUUGCUACAUCAACAACAAUCAGGUAGUAAACAUUACAUAAUUAAUCAAAGAAAUAAAUAGGGAAUGUCACUUCUAAUCUAUCAGCCAUAAUAUCUGAGAAAUUUGAAGGCACAUUUGCCAACCAUGGAAAAACUUUUGGAGAGCUCUCAUGUCGCCACCAAGGCACAUUCACUCUGCGCCAUGUGGCGCUCAAUCUAAGGGUUGAAGUUUUGGCCAACUCAAUCCUAUAGUAUUCUCUUACAAAAGCUUCCACUAGCCCCCUGUAAUCCGGGACCACGUUGACCUCCCAUAGCCGAUCUAACACUGCUUGCCAUUCAGGUGGAAGAGUGUUCAUCAAAGCCGGCACCUUCUCAAAGUCCAGCAUAAGAUAACCAUUCCAGAUGAUUUCCUGUAUCAUCUGAUUGACCUUGACCAUAUGUGAUACUAAAUCACCAUCAAGCCACCGAUAAUCAGCUAACCCUUUCAUCAGCCUUUUCAGUCUAGCUCUUCCUUCGUCCGUUCUUGGGAUUGCAGGUAUCCUUGCAUAACGCAUCAUAGUUCCUGCAACAAAUGCAGAACUAAAAAUGGAUCACUUAUAAUCCAUAAUAAACAAAAUGGAAAAUACAUAAUUUUCCAUGAUUCAUGCAACAAAUGCGGAAUAAAAAAUGGAUUACCUACAACCCAUACAGACAUAAUUGAAAAAAGAAACAAUUUUUUUUUUUUGGGUCAACGGUCAACGGUCAAAGUCAACGGUGGUCAACGGAGGGCAAUGGUCAACGGCGGUCAACGGAGGUCGACGGUCAACGGUCGCCGGACCGGUCGGGCCGGUCGGGCCGGUCGGGCCAUUCGGGCCGGUCGGGCUGGUGGGCCCGGUUCGUGUGAACCGACGGCACGUGCCGUGCGCAUGCGCGGGCUGACGUCACGUGCCGUGCGCGUGCGCGGGCUGACGUCACGCAGACGUCAGCCGGCACGUGCCGCGCGCGUGCCGGGUCUCGCGCGGGUCGGGUCGGGUCGCCGGCCAGCGAUAACGUCGCCGUGCUGACGUCAUCGAUGACGUCACCCUAGCGGUUAUUGACCGUUGGGUGACGUCAUGCUGACGUCAGCACGCGUCGGUCCGCGGACCGGCGCGUGCCGGUUCGCCGCCGGCGCGUGUGACGCACGCGCUGGCCGAAGCCAACGCUUCGCGCGCGUGGCGCCCACGCGCAGCGGCUUGUGGCCGCGCGUGUGGGCGCGUGCGGAGUCGUCCGGCGACGCACAACAUGUCGCCGGACUCGUCUCGAUGACGCCUUUCACCCAGUGCCUUCAGAAUUUGAUUCCGACUUACUGAAGCUCAUAAAAAAGGACGUACAGUGCUCGGGUGUCGGGAUUUUCGCCCCGAUCCGUACGGCCGAAGAUUUUUCGCGAAAAAUCAAUCAAAAAAACAUCAAAUUGAUCGGGAAAACGUGAACUAGGGCUCUGAUACCAAUGUUGGGAAUGACUGAUCCCCGAAAAACCGGAUUCGACACUAAAUCGAACCCCUAAAACGAAUGUGGAAGCGAAGCCCGGGAAAACACGUAUCACCGAUCGUAAAGCACACCACGGAGUCGAGCGUACCUUGUUAGCCACAGAUUAGACACCAAUGCCGAUUGAGGAAGAAAAUCCGGUCGAAUUCGAUCCGAUGAAGCCUUGAAGAGAAGAAUUAGAAGCCGUAUGCCUACUGUUCCUUUUGAGAGAGAAAACGCACGAGAGAGAAAAGACGUGCGUAAUUUCUAAUUCCAACAGACGUCUUCUCUCUCUCUCUCUCUCCCUUUUAUACCUCCCCCCAUCCACGGGCCAUAUUCCCGUGGGCCGGGCUCUCUUGGCCCAACUUGGGCGGACGGGCCUUAAGCCCAAAUUAAAUAAAGCCUUCAAUUCGUAUGAAGAUGUCGUAGCUGUGCAGGCCUUCUCGUGAUGGGUGGCUCUUUGGUGGCUGCUCGCAACUCUGGAGUAGUAAAGCAGGAUGCGUCGGGAUGUGCAAAACCGAACAAAACCCGAGCUGCGUUUGAUGUUCAGUAAACUCGUAAAAAGGAAAGGAACAAUUUGCUACGCAUUGCUACGAAGCUUGCAGGUGCGGCACAAAUCUCCAUGGAAAGUCUUCCCGGGAUGCUAACGGUGGCGCGAAGAAGAGAUAAUAAGGUGCAAGAGCGACAGCAAAAUCCCAAUGAUUUGUUCUUUAAUAUGAGCAAACCCCUUUUUGUCUUCUUCUUGCCACCGUUCUCUCUUUUCGUCUUUCUUUCUUCCUUGGCCUUUCUAUGUGUAGAUCGUGGAAACCCAGCAAACAAGACUUGAAGGACGGCUUGAGGGCGUGGCCUUGCAAACUUGAUGAGCGAUCACCAGGAAGAAAAAGAUCGUGAACUCAAGCAUGCAUCUUUCGUCUUCAUCAUGCAGACUUUUAUAAACUACAAGAAGAAUACGAGACUUUUCUCACGAUGGUAGUCACCUCGUCUCUAUUGUGUGUCUCUCUACUUUCUUUUCUCUCAAUGUGUCUCUAUAUUAUGUGCUCCCCUCAAUGUGGCCGGUUGUAUCGAUUGUGUGGGCCCCUCUCUCUCAAGGUUUACUACUCUAUUUAUAAUAUGGCAGCCCCAAGUCGGUCGAACACGUGCUGAAUAUUCUCUUUUGAUUUUAUUUCUUCAAACUGAAUAUCAGCUCGCAAGUUUGUCAAUUUCUUCCCUUUCUUGCUGUGAAUAGAGCCAUGAGUAUAUCCAAUAAUAUUUAUUUCUUUGUCCCUAAGUUGGUGCAGCGAAUUCAUUCCCUUUUUACUCAAGCCUAUGGAUGCAUAAGAUUUCUUUGACCGUGCACUCUUUCUCGUUUUAAAACAAUAUAUAACCCUUGUUGACCAAUCCUUUUCUUGCAAUCUAUAUAUUUUAUUUGAUCAACUGUCCUUCUUUGGCAUAUUAUUGUGUAGAAAUAAUGGAGCGGAAAUAUCACACUUUUUUGCAUCUACUUGACCGAGAUUACCUCCUGUUUAUAAAGAUAUUCAUUCCUCCUCCAUGACCUUUCAUGCCCCAUUAAGAUUUUUCCCAAAUUUGUAUCGAACUUGGUCACAUUGCGGGCUAACUUAAAUAAAGCUCAAAGUCAUUUAUCUGAGUUGAUCUGCCAUCAGUCCGAUCCAAAGCAAUUGCAAAUAAAAUAAAAAUAAAAAUAAUGAAAAAAAUGUUCAUAAAACUAUAUGUUAUGCAAUUAAUUUUUUUUUGGGUUAAAAAAAUUAAUCCCUAAUUUUUUUAUGAAUAAAUGAAUAGGUUGUCAAAAUUUAGGUGUCAACAAAUCGUAGUAGUGUUUUGCUUGUAUCACCUAAAGAAAGAAGUGUAUCACAAGCACAAUGCACCAUGCCAGUACAAACCAGCACAAACCAACAAGACAAAAAAUGGAACUGGUAAUAGCUUAAACAAAAUAAACAUCAUUACCAUUGAUAUUCAAUUAUUUCUUUACAUUUUGUCAAUCUAACUAAUAGUUAAAAAAUAUUGAUGUGUGUAUUGGUUGUUCUCUGUAGAUACAAUAAGUCUCUAUUUAUCUACAUCAGGAUCUUGGUUGGAAAUAGAACCUAUUUAAUAGGUUUUUGGUAGUUAAUAGAUACAACUAUUACUAAUUAAUUGCAAUAAUAGCUAACACCAAUUAAUAGCGACACAUUCCAACACUCCCCCUCAAGUUGGCUUGAAGAUAUCUUCCAUAGACAGCUUGCUCACUAGACGGUCAAAUUGUCUUCUAUGCAGUCCCUUGGUUAGAAUGUCAACAACUUGUUCAUCACUAGAAAUAUACGGCAUACAAAUCAGUUUGCUAUCAAGUUUUUAUCUAAUGAAGUGUUUAUCAACUUCCACAUGCUUUGUUUAACUAUUAGUUAGAUUAUGAGCAAUAUACGGUAAAAAAAUAUUGAUGUUAGGUCGAGUGUGAGAUAAGUAAAUAAGUUGACCAACAAGCCUUUGAUACCUUUCUUGGUCUAUCACUUCUACAACCUUGGCUGGUUCAAGUUUCAAAUUUGGCUCCACGGGUUUCUCCGCUGUUUUACAUCCUAAUAAACCCGUCUCUUUAAGUAGAUCAAGCACAUAUUUGCAUUGGUUGUUAACAAAUAUACCCUUCUUGGAUCUCGCAAAUUUUAUUCCAAGGAAAUAUUUCAAGACAUUCAAAUCUUUAACUUCAAACUCCUCAACUAACUUCUUUCGUAAGCUUUCCAACUCAACUUUGUCAUCACCAGUCAGUAUUAUAUCAUCAACAUAGACAAUUAGAAUGUCAUGCUUACCUUCCUUCGAGUGUUUAUAGAAUAGAGUGUGAUCCCCUUGGCUUUGGUAAUAAUUGAACCUUUUAACCAGCUUCUCAAACCAUUCAAACCACGCUCUUGGAGAUUGUUUAAGUCUGUACAACAACUUUUUCAAUGUGCAAACUUUGCCUUAAUUUUCUGCAAUACUUUAGGGCAAACUCAUAAACACUUUCUCCUCCAAGUCACCAUUCAAGAACGCAUUCUUCACGUCUAACUGGAGUAAGGGCCAAUCAAGAAUAGCAGCCAAAGAUAGUAAAAUCGAAAUAGAAUUUAUCUUAGCAACCGGGGCAAAGGUCUCCUAAUAGUCAAUUCCAUAAGUCUGAGUGAACCCAUUUGCCACUAGCCUUGCUUUAGACCGAUCAACACUCCCAUCAAGUUUAUAUUUUACAGUAAAUACCCAUUUAUAGUCAACAAUCUUUUUUCCUUCAGGUGCAUCAACCAAUUUUGAGGUGCCAUUCUUCAUAAGUGCCCCCAUUUCAUCCUCAACCACUAUCUUCCACUUUGGAUCCUUCAAAGCUUCCUGGAUAUUUCUAGGAAUAAAUAUGUGAGACAAGUUUGACACAAACACUUUAUGAUGAUGAGACAACAUUUCAUAUGGCACAUGUUUUGAUAUAGGAUGCUGAGUACAUGAUCUAACCCAUUUUCUAAGAGCUAUAGGCAUAUCAAGAUUCGAAGUAUUAGAAUCAGAAUUUUUUCAUUUUUUUUCAAUUUGAUAUAUCUAUUAACAAUUUCUUUUUAGUAGGUAAUAAUAUCUUUUACUUGUAAUUAUCUAUAUUUUGGAAUCUAAUUUAUUUUUUCUUUCAUCAUAUUCAAGAAAAUUGAUUGUAAGGGCCCUUUUAUGAUUUUGUUUCUCAAUUUGAGUUUGCAAUAAGGAAACUUAACCAAAAAAAAAAAAGAUUAUGAAAUGGAAUUCAUCAAAAGUUGUUUAUGGUCCAUGUUUGACUGUCACUUUGUCAUUUCACGAAGGACGGUCAUUUGAACAGGACCCAUUUUUAUAAAGAAAGUGUGAAAAAAGUUUUAAAUCUAUUACAUAUGAGUCAAUCUAUUCAUAAAUCUUUUAAUAAUGCCAAUUUAGUCCUAAAAUUUUUGAGUUGAUGCUAAUUUAGUCAUAAACCUUUUAAUGAUGCCAACUGAGUCAUAAACAUUUUAAACUAAUGCCAAUUUAGUUAUAAACAUCUCGAUUUGGUGCCAAUUUAGUUAUUCUAGUUAAUUUUGACUGGAUAUUGCUGAUGUAGAUGUCGGCUUGUUUACGUGGUAUCGUUGAUGUUGAGGUAGGUAAUAUUUAAUAAUAUUUUAUUUUUAUUAUUUUUCUAUUUUUUUCUUUCUUGCUUUCUCUCCUUUCUUCUUCACUUUGCCAGUGAUCAGCCACCGACCAUAGGCAAUGGCCAGCCAUAGGCCAUGGCCGAGUGGGCUUGGCUAUGGCAAGGCUAGGCCUCGGCAAGGCUAGCCUUAGCCUUGUCGAAUCUAGCCUGAGCAAGGGCUGCCCCAAUAAGGGUUUUCCUCACCAAAUUUGGCUUGGGGAGGACAACCCUUGCUUGGGCGAGGGCAAGCCCCAACGAGGGCUCCCCUCACCAAAUCCGGCAACGCUUGACAAGGCUGACCCUCGCUCGACUCCCUAAGGCUAUCCUUGCCCAGGCGAGGAUUGACCUCACCCGAGCCGAAUCCAGCAAGCUUGACCCUCGUUGGGGCUCAGCCUCACCAUGGCUAGGUGAGGCUAGCCAACUCGGCUGCAGCUAGUGGCCGGCCAUCGCCUUUGGCCAGUGGCCGGUCACUAGCAAAGUGAAGAAGAAGAAGAAGAAGAAGAAAAGAGAUGGUCGGAAAAAAAAAUCAGAAAAAAGGAAUAAGAUUAGAAAAAUAAAAAUAAAAUCGAAAAAUUAUUAAAAUAUUAUCAAAAAUUGUUUACGUCAGUAUGGACAAUGCUACCGGCAUUUACAUCAGUAAUUAAAAUGUUUAAGACUAAAUUAGUAUCUAUGUAACACGUUUAAGAAUUUUUUGAUAAUUCCCUAUUUUUAUGUAUCUUGAAACCGUAGUACUUUAAGUUUUUUCUUUUUUUUGGUAAAUGGUAAGAAUAAAUAGUACUUUAAAUUUAUUGGGAGGACUUCCGGCUAAAUUUUUUUUCCAAGGGUGCAGUUGAUUGCUGUCUACAAAGCCACCCGAAAAUGGGGAUGGUAGCACAUCCAGAGAGACGAAACGUCCAAGUACACUUCAAGAGAGAUAUUAUUUCACCCAUAAAAGAAAGAAUUUUAUUUGCAUGGGGGAGAAUCAAAGCACAAUCUCCAAGAUGAUAUUCCACCAUCGCACGUCAUUCUGAUUGACAUUUAGGGAACAAGAAAAAUUGAUCAAGCACGUGCGACCUUGCGCGUGGCACGUCAAUUCGCCGAUCAUAUGCUGCAAAACCUAAAUGACGACUAGAAAGAAAGACUCAUCAAAAGACGAACGAUGACGGACGACGACCUACAAAGUCCAGCGUAUUUCACUCGCGCUUCCACGAUUCAAUGAGUUUGGCCAACGCCAACCGAGAUGACCCACCGGGGCUCAGCGCAGCCUCGGCUUCUUCCUUCAUGGCAAGCACUCGCUCUCUCACGGUCUCGCCCUCCUCCCUCUCCAUCAACUCUCCGACUCGCUUCUCCACUUCCUCCGAACUCACCAGCCCGUCCUCUGACUCGUCCACCGGCAGGGCGAUUUUCAUCUCCUGCACCAGCACCACCUUGUUGUGCCCCUGCUCCGCGUACAGUGGCCACGCCAGCAUCGGCACGCCGGCGCGCACAGCCUCAAGCACCGAGUUCCACCCGCAGUGAGUCACGAACCCGCCCACCGAGGGGUGGCUCAACACCGCCACCUGCGGGGCCCAUUUCUUGACCACGAGCCCCCUCUCUUUGGUACGUUCCAAAAAGCCCUCCGGAAGCAGGGAGCCCAAGUCCAGGUCGGCCACCGUCGACGACGUAGCGGCCUUUUGGUUCUUGUCAUUUGUCGGGUCACGGACCACCCACAAGAACCGGUGACCGCUCCUCUCCAGCCCCAACGCUAUUUCCUUCAGUUGUUCCACCGUGAACACGCCCAAGCUCCCGAAACACAGGAACGCAACGCUCCCUCUAGGCUGCGAGUCCAGCCACGUCAGAGACUUUGGCGAUCUGCCAUCGUCGUGUCCGCUGCUAGAGGUCAGUGGUCCGAUGCAAUAAAGUGGCGGAGUGGACCCGUUCGGCACACAUUCGCCAUCCACAAUGGCUCGUAUAGUUCUUGGCUCGAGCUUCUCGAAGGUGUUGACUAUGAUCCCAGUCGAAGUCUGCAUCUUCAGAGAUGAAUCCAAGAAGCCCUUGUAGGCCUCGUCGUAGCGAUCUUGCAAUGGCUUGCAAACAUUGGAGGGCGGUAUCGACGGUGUGCCGGGGACAUCUAUGGAGGCAUCGAAGUCUUUAAUGCUUUUGUCGAACUUGUCGUGAAGAGUUGGGGUGUAGAGGAAGAAGUUGAGGAAACAGGCGCCAGAAGUGAAGAAAUAGUAGCAGGGGAUUUUGAGCUCAUGCGCAACGGCGACGGCUGGGGCGCAGAAGAAGUCGAUGAUGAAGCCGUUAAUCAUGUGGUUUUCAGAGAUAGAGGUGAGGGCAUGGUGGACGUUGGGGUUGUUGAGGCGGAGGAGCUCAAAGGCGAGGGUCGUGUGGUGGGGGGAGGUGGUGGAGAAUUCUGGAGGGAGGGUGGUUGCAUGGAAGAAGUGGAAGACGAUGGAGGGGGCGGUGGCGGAGACAGAGGUGAUGUAGGCGGUGGUGGAGCCGGCGUCAUAAGCUUGGUUGGUGAUGAGGAUGUGAAUGGAGAGGGAAGGGCGGUAGGUGAGGAGGAGCUUGCCGAGCUCCACAAUGGAGAUG